rnacentral:rRNA from 1 species
GACGAAGGUGGCGAGCGUUGUUCGGAAUCACUGGGCUUAAAGAGCACGUAGGCGGACGACUUUGCACCUUGUGAAAGCCCCCGGCUCAACCGGGGAAUUGCUGGGUGAACGGGUCGUCUUGAGGCAGGUAAGGGCGCGGGGAACUCUUGGUGGAGCGGUGGAAUGCGUAGAUAUCAAGAGGAACGCCGGUGGUGAAGACGCCGCGCUGGGCCUGUCCUGACGCUGAGGUGCGAAAGCCAGGGGAG